GUUAUCGUUUAUUUGAUAGUACCUUACUACUUGGAUAACCGUGGUAAUUCUAGAGCUAAUACAUGCUGAAAACCCCAACUUCGGGAGGGGUGUAUUUAUUAGAUAAAAAACCAACGCCCUUCGGGGCUUCUUGGUGAUUCAUGAUAACUUCACGGAUCGCAUGGCCUUGCGCCGGCGACGGUUCAUUCAAAUUUCUGCCCUAUCAACUUUCGAUGGUAAGGUAUUGGCUUACCAUGGUUUCAACGGGUAACGGGGAAUUAGGGUUCGAUUCCGGAGAGGGAGCCUGAGAAACGGCUACCACAUCCAAGGAAGGCAGCAGGCGCGCAAAUUACCCAAUCCCGACACGGGGAGGCAGUGACAAUAAAUACUGAUACAGGGCUCUUUUGGGUCUUGUAAUUGGAAUGAGUACAAUUUAAACCUCUUAACGAGGAACAAUUGGAGGGCAAGUCUGGUGCCAGCAGCCGCGGUAAUUCCAGCUCCAAUAGCGUAUAUUAAAGUUGCUGCAGUUAAAAAGCUCGUAGUUGAAACUUGG
rnacentral:rRNA from 1 species